UACGUAGGGACCAAGCGUUGUUCGGAUUUACUGGGCGUAAAGGGCGCGUAGGCGGCUUAACAAGUCACUUGUGAAAUCUCCGGGCUUAACUCGGAACGGCCAAGUGAAACUGUCGAGCUAGAGUGCAGAAGGGGCAAUCGGAAUUCUUGGUGUAGCGGUGAAAUGCGUAGAUAUCAAGAGGAACACCUGAGGUGAAGACGGGUUGCUGGGCUGACACUGACGCUGAGGCGCGAAAGCCAGGGGAGCAAACGGG
rnacentral:rRNA from 1 species